rnacentral:rRNA from 1 species
UUGGAGGGCAAGUCUGGUGCCAGCAGCCGCGGUAAUUCCAGCUCCAAUAGCGUAUAUUAAAGUUGCUGCAGUUAAAAAGCUCGUAGUUGAAUUUCGGGACCAUCAUGUCGGUCGUGCCUCGGUACGUACUGGUAUUGUUGGUUUCUCCCUUCUGACGAACCAUGAUGUCAUUUAUUUGGUGUUGUGGGGAAUCAGGACUGUUACUUUGAAAAAAUUAGAGUGUUUAAAGCAGGCUCACGCUUGAAUACAUUAGCAUGGAAUAAUGAAAUAGGACGUUUGAUUCUAUUUUGUUGGUUUCUAGGAUCGACGUAAUGAUUAAUAGGGAUAGUUGGGGGCAUCAGUAUUCAAUUGUCAGAGGUGAAAUUCUUGGAUUUAUUGAAGACUAACUACUGCGAAAGCAUUUGCCAAGGAUGUUUUCAUUAAUCAAGAACGAAAGUUAGGGGAUCGAAGACGAUCAGAUACCGUCGUAGUCUUAACCAUAAACUAUGCCGACUAGGGAUCGGAUGAUGUUAAUUUUUUAAUGACUCAUUCGGCGCCUUACGGGAAAC